CUGGCUUUAGCUCAUUGGUUACUUCAACAGUACAUUCUGCUUGGUACCUGCCAUUUGUGGUUGUGUUCGAGCUCUGCUACCAAGUCCUUACAAAACCUGUGAGUGGUUGGUUCGAGACCUGCAGGCACUCUCCAG
ensembl:misc_RNA Vault Vault RNA